UGGAGAGGUGGCCGAGUGGUCGAAGGCGCUCCCCUGCUAAGGGAGUAGGGCUCAAAAGGCUCUCGAGAGUUCGAAUCUCUUCCUCUCCGCCAU
rnacentral:tRNA from 1 species